UCUUUAGUACUUUAUAAAAAAGUUUUGAUUUGCAUUUAAAAAAAAGGAUAAUUUAAUUCCUCUAAAGAA
rnacentral:tRNA from 1 species